rnacentral:rRNA from 1 species
GAUGAACGCUAGCGGCAGGCCUAAUACAUGCAAGUCGAGCGGUAACACUUCGGGUGACGAGCGGCGGACGGCUGAGUAGCGCGUAGGAACGUACCCCAAAGUGAGGGAUAACUGCUCGAAAGAGUAGCUAAUACCGCAUGUGCUCUACGGAGUAAAGCUUUAUGCGCUUUGGGAACGGCCUGCGUAUGAUUAGCUUGUUGGUGAGGUAAUGGCUCACCAAGGCGACGAUCAUUAGCUGGUCUGAGAGGAUGAUCAGCCAGACUGGGACUGAGACACGGCCCAGACUCCUACGGGAGGCAGCAGUAGGGAAUUUUCCACAAUGGGCGAAAGCCUGAUGGAGCAACGCCGCGUGCAGGAUGAAUGCCUUUGGGUUGUAAACUGCUUUUAUCUGUGACGAUUUUGACGGUAGCAGAUGAAUAAGGAUCGGCUAACUCCGUG